rnacentral:lncRNA from 1 species
UCAGAGCUGUGGGUCUUGGGGCUCAGGGCCUGGUACACAGUAGGAGGUCAUUAAACAUCCCACACUGGUCAGUUACAGCCUCCUACGUCCCAGCUGUGCGUUUCCUGUGAAAAGAAUAAUGAUCAGCAGCACAAGUUCUAUAAGGGCAGAACCAUGUCUGUCUCCAGAGCCUGGCACAAGGCCUGACACCUAAAGAGCACCCAAAGAACAUCUGUGCCAUCAAUGAAUGAAUGAAUGAAUGAAGCAAUGGUUCCAUCUUGCUCUUGUCUGGGCUCCAGAGCCUGGUAUUCAGAAAAUGUCAUUUCAGCAGAGAACUAACUGGAUGUGGCUGCGGCAGCCCUGAAGAGCCCAUAGAAGAAAAGUUUGAAUUCCCCAGAAUCAGCCCAUUCUUGCAUUAAUUUCAAAACAUAGUUGAGUGCCUACUGUGUGUGCCAGGCACUGGUGGUGGUGAUACAGCAGUAAGCAAGAGAGACAGUAAAAAAUACAGACAAGCAAA